UUAGGGUCUAUCGAUUGGCCACUGGUCGCAGGUUCGGUGUCAGCUGUCCUUCUGUUCCUGGUAGUGCUGGCUGGGCUGGGUAUCGCCAUUCACAGGAAAGUCAAAGCUGUGGCAAAGGAAAGAAAGAAAAGGGAGGAAGCCCAUUUCUGGAAAUGCAUUCACCCAAGAGACC